UACGAAGGGGGCUAGCGUUGCUCGGAAUCACUGGGCGUAAAGGGUGCGUAGGCGGGUCUUUAAGUCAGGGGUGAAAUCCUGGGGCUCAACCUCAGAAUUGCCUCCGAUACUGGCAGUCUCGAGUGCGGGAGAGGUGAGUGGAAUUCCCAGUGUAGAGGUGAAAUUCGUAGAUAUUGGGAAGAACACCAGUGGCGAAGGCGGCUCACUGGCCCGUAACUGACGCUGAGGUGCGAAAGCGUGGGGAGCAAACAGG
rnacentral:rRNA from 1 species